UGAGUCAUUCAAAGGGCAAAAGCACAUGUUUAAAGAGGUUAGUUGUGGCCUCAUAUACUUACUGGAUACAGUGCUUCUGUUCCUGAACAAUGGAAAAAUUUGACUGUUUCUGCUUAGAAGUUCAUGGACUUGGAAGGCUCCAGACAAUGUGUAGAUGUUUAAACUGUUCCCAAAUGGACACACAUUCCAAUAAUGCUAAAAUGAGUAUCCUUGUUCAUGUUUCCUUAGUUAUUUGCACUGUAUGAGCUCCUCCUUCAUCCUGGGUGCCACAAGGAGAAGACGUGGGGGCCCAACUGAAACAGCACGGUCAAGCAGAAUGGUGGCUGACCCAGAGCACUCAUACAACCUAAGCAGAAAAUAAAUCUAUGUUGCAAGCCACUGAA